rnacentral:rRNA from 1 species
UGGGGAAUAUUGCGCAAUGGGGGGAACCCUGACGCAGCCAUGCCGCGUGAAUGAAGAAGGCCUUCGGGUUGUAAAGUUCUUUCGGUAUUGAGGAAGGUUGAUGUGUUAAUAGCACAUCAAAUUGACGUUAAAUACAGAAGAAGCACCGGCUAACUCCGUGCCAGCAGCCGCGGUAAUACGGAGGGUGCGAGCGUUAAUCGGAAUAACUGGGCGUAAAGGGCACGCAGGCGGUUAUUUAAGUGAGGUGUGAAAGCCCCGGGCUUAACCUGGGAAUUGCAUUUCAGACUGGGUAACUAGAGUACUUUAGGGAGGGGUAGAACUCCACGUGUAGCGGUGAAAUGCGUAGAGAUGUGGAGGAAUACCGAAGGCGAAGGCAGCCCCUUGGGAAUGUACUGACGCUCAUGUGCGAAAGCGUGGGGAGCAAACAGGAUUAGAUACCCUGGUAGUCCACGCUGUAAACGCUGUCGAUUUGGGGGUUGGGGUUUAACUCUGGCGCCCGUAGCUAACGUGAUAAAUCGACCGCCUGGGGAGUACGGCCGCAAGGUUA